rnacentral:rRNA from 1 species
UACGUAGGGGGCUAGCGUUGUCCGGAAUCAUUGGGCGUAAAGAGCGUGUAGGCGGCCCGGUAAGUCCGCUGUGAAAGUCGGGGGGCUCAACCCUCGAAUGCCGGUGGAUACUGUCGGGCUAGAGUGCGGAAGAGGCGAGUGGAAUUCCUGGUGUAGCGGUGGAAUGCGCAGAUAUCAGGAGGAACACCAAUAGCGAAGGCAGCUCGCUGGGACGGUACUGACGCUAAGGCGCGAAAGCUGGGGGGAGCGAACGGGG